UACGUAGGGUGCGAGCGUUAAUCGGAAUUACUGGGCGUAAAGCGUGCGCAGGCGGCUUUGCAAGACAGAUGUGAAAUCCCGCAGCUCAACUGCGGAACUGCCUUUGAUACUGGGUAUCUUGAGUAUGGAAGAGGUGAGUGGAAUUCCGAGUGUAGAGGUGAAAUUCGUAGAUAUGCGGAGGAACACCAAUGGCGAAGGCAAUCCCCUGGGCCUGUACUGACGCUCAUGCACGAAAGCGUGGGGAGCAAACAGG
rnacentral:rRNA from 1 species